UACGAAGGGGGGGAACGUUGUCCGGAUUUACUGGGUGUAAAGGGUGCUCAGGCGGUCUUGUAAGUCAGAGGUGAAAUCUCAAGGCUUAACCUUGAAACUGCCUUUGAUACUGCUGGGCUUGAGUACGGAAGAGGCGGAUGGAAUUCCUGGUGUAGCAGUGAAAAGCGUAGAUAUCAGGAGGAACACCGGUGGCGAAGGCGGUCCGCUGGUCCGUUACUGACGCUAAAGCACGAAAGCGUGGGGAGCAAACAGG
rnacentral:rRNA from 1 species